GAGAUCAAACCCAGUCCUUGCACAUGUAGGCAAUCUCUGCCAUUUAAUUGUGCCACUGGUCUUUUCCUGUACAUGUUUAAUAUUGGAAGGCCUUUUGCUUUUUCAUUAUAUUAAGAAGAUUUUUUUUUCUUGAGUAUUUUCUUAUUUUUUUAACUUGAAUUUUUAAAGUUAUUUGAUUUGAUUUUUUUUUCUUUUUUCUUUGAUUUUUAAUCUCAUUAAAAAGAAAGAGUUUAUAGUUUUUGCCUUUUCACUUAAAAAUACCAUCUGGACAGUUGGAUACAUGCCUUUUGCCAUUUGGGAGCAGGUGUAUUUUUGCAAAAAUUGAGCCAUUUUAUGAUAAGUUAUUUCCUGUCUUCCCUCAGUCCCAGCCUAGGCUGUUGGCCAGCACUCUUGUUUUUGUAGCCUUCUGUUGAUGCGCAGUCAGCUCUCUGCAUGGCAGGCUGUUCCUCUCCAUUUGCCUUUUAAUACAGAGCAACAACAGAGUGUGCGGGAAAAGUAGUAUCUUGUAACAUUGCUUUGGUUUUAGACUUUUUCUUAAGCAAACAGUACCAUUAUUUGUCUUGUUUCUCAGACACACAAAGACCAUAAUAUCCUUGCCAAUAAAGUAUCAGGGGACCUCUCAGUACAUUUGUAUUGGGGACAGCUCCUGGAAUUGCUCUGUGCUGAGGCUCACCUGUCAUGUUAGAUGUUUAGAGAGAACACUUGGGCUUUAAGGCGGUUGGAAGACAGAAUGCUGGCAUUCAUCCUCAGUGCGAUCUCCUGUGUGACGAUGUUCUUGUGAGUGGCCAGUUUACUUCAUUCUACCCACUGAGCUUCAGCUUUGAAGAAAAGUAAGAAAGCAACCGCCGUUUGUCUUCCACCUCUCCUUGGUGUUAGAACUGAAAGAUGAACUUAGUCUCCAAAAGGAAGGUGAACAAGGGACUUUCUGCAACUCUGCUUUAUAUUGACAUUUUUGGAUACUCUGUUUUAAUGUGUUUCAGCUCAACUGUCACCGUAUCAGUGAUAACCACUGGCCACAUGUGACUGCUUAAGUUUAAUAAAAAUUAAGCCAUAGAACCAGUUCCCUUGUCCUACUCACAGUGUUUUCUAGCCCUGUGUUAACGGAGGACAGGGCAGAUUGACCAUUUCCUACAGCUGCUCGGCUCUCCUGGUGUGGCCUUUGAUUUUAUUGCGUUCUCUCUUUAGGUGAACUUGUCUACGGAUUCUCUCCCUGUCAGUCUUGUCUGGGAGUGUGUGUACCCGGCUAAGUGUGGAGGUCAGAGGACAACUAGGACAUUGCUCCCUGCCUUGUAACACAGGGUUUCUUUGCUGUUUUCCUGCUGAAUUCCCCAUGCUAGAUGACCAGAAAGCUUCCAAGGAUUCCCCCUUCUCUGUCUUCUAUCUCCCUGGAGGAGGAGUGCGGGGAUUACAGACGUCCCUGCAUUUAUGUCUGGCUUUACAUAAGUCCUGGAGGUCUCAGUUCAGGUGGACAGGUUUGCACCGUCAAAGGCCUCAGUGUAUCCAGCCAUCACUACUAUCCUGUCCUCGGGGAUAGGUUUUUGUUUUUUCUUUUAUUCUGCAGUACUGGGUAUUGAACCUAAGGGCUCAUGUAUGUUAGCCAAGUGCUCUACAACUGAGCUGUAUCCCUAAUCUAGUUUUCCAGGCUGUGAAGCCAGUUAAUGUUCAUUUUGUUUAGGGAGAUAGAGUCCUGCUGCUCACAUACAGUAAACUUAUAAGAAGGUGACACAUGUAGCAGUGUGUCAGAUUUCUUAUGAACAGUGAGACUAUCUGGCAAAUCUGUAUGUUGGGCUAGAGGCAAGUCAGGUGGGUGCCAUGCCCAAGGCUCAGUGUUCAGUUCCCAGCAAUGGGGACGGGAAAGGCUUCAUAUCAUCUGGUUUACAUAUCUUCUGUCUAUGUAUAGUUUUUUUUAUUACAUUUAUUUGUGUGUUUAGGCAUGCAUAAAGGUCAGAGAACACCUUGCAGAACCAGCUUUUUCCUUCUAAUAUGUGGACCCAGUGGAUUGAGCUUAAGUCUUCAGGCUUGGUGGCAAGCAGAAUAUCUUGCUGCUCCCUUUGGUUAUAGUUGAAGAUGGGGUUCUCAUUAUGUUGUCCAGGUGACCUGAAAUUUCAUGAUCCUCCCACCCAGGCACCCAUGUCACCACUCCUCGGGAACUGGUUGGUUCACCUGGUGGUUGAGAUGUCUCUGUCUUUGGCCUGGCCUUGCUGCCUUGUGUAGGCUGACCUCCAGGGAUCCUGCUGCCUGCCUCCCCAGCCUGCAUUCAUCUUAAGCACGUACCAGCAGCACCAGCAUGCCCAAAGAUCUCCUGUUUUCAUGGCAGGCACUUUACAGACUCAGCCAUCUCUCUAGCACCUCUAUUGACAUUAAAAAAAAAAACAAAC
rnacentral:lncRNA from 1 species